GUAAAACAAAUUUAUAUACCUCAAUGAAAAAAAUACCCAAAAAGAAAAAGGAAAAAAGAUGUAAUUAUUAGUAUUACUAUUGACACAAAUUUAAUAUGUGGGAUAUUGUCAGAAAUCUUAAUUAACGUAAUCCGUAAUGACAUAAAUCUUAAAUGAAAUCAUUCUCAAAAUAAUCAUAAUUAAAAUAAUAAUAAUAAUAAUAAUAAAAAAAAAAAAACAAAAAGAGAAGGAGAAAAAAAGAAAAACCCACAAAAAAAACAAACAUGCUUGAAGGAGGAAAGAUUGGCAUUGUAUAUUAUUAUAAAAAAAAGAAACGAUCACAAAAGAAGCUGGAUUUAUGAUUUCUGAAGGUAAAGUAUGUGAAAAAAGGAUCUAUGAAUUUGCGACGAAAAUCUAAGUCUUAAACGUUUUCAUGCAAAGAUAGUCACCUCAAUUGUUCCGAUGCCUUGGCACAUACGUCUAAUUUGCGCUUCGGACGUGCUUGCUGCUAAAUUCUCUACCUUUACAGUAUUUGUUUUUAUUUCCGGUAUUUUUUUCUGUUGUAUAGGAGAUUUUUGUAGUACAAC